AACCCAAGACCCAACCCUGGUCAUUAAAUGCAAAGCCGCUGUUGCCUGGGAGCCUAAGAAACCAUUUUCCAUUGAGGAGGUGGAAGUUGCCCCCCCAAAGGCACAUGAAGUUCGCAUUAAGAUUUUGGCCACAGGGAUCUGUCGCUCAGAUGACCAUGUCAUGAGUGGUGCAUUAACUGUGGCUUUUCCAAUAAUUCUUGGCCACGAAGCAGCUGGUAUUGUAGAGAGCGUUGGAGAAGGGGUGACUUGUGUGAAACCAGGUAUAAGAAAGCAUCAAGCACUAACCAAUGAUAAGUAGUUCUCACCUAGCAUUCACAUACCCUGCUCCAAUAUCAAAGACACUAACAUGUAUGAACACCUUUAUUGCAGAGGAAACAAGUAAUCCAACAUUCAACCUUCACAGGGCCUUGUCAAGGAUAUUUUGGAGGAGAAAUAUGUUGUUUAAGUCUUUCUUGCUAUACUCCCAAGUGAUCUUUCCUAUUUCAAAAGUUUUUGCCUGUUCACUUCUAUUUUAUGUGAUUAUGAAGUGCUCUCCCCUUCCCCAGCAUUCAAAAGAGGUGCUUAUUUGUAUUUCACUCAAAGGGAACCAAAUGUGAGCUACCAUUUUGAGUUCAGACCCUUGUUAGGGUUUCCGUUCAGCAAGGAAUUUUAACGUGCCUAGCUUUGU